rnacentral:rRNA from 1 species
CCUACGGGAGGCAGCAGUGAGGAAUAUUGGUCAAUGGGCGGAAGCCUGAACCAGCCAAGUAGCGUGCAGGAUGACGGCCCUACGGGUUGUAAACUGCUUUUGUACGAGGGUAAACGCAGAUACGCGUAUCUGUCUGAAAGUAUCGUACGAAUAAGGAUCGGCUAAUUCCGUGCCAGCAGCCGCGGUAAUACGGAAGGUCCGGGCGUUAUCCGGAUUUAUUGGGUUUAAAGGGAGCGUAGGCCGCAUGUCAAGCGUGCUGUGAAAUGUCCGGGCUCAACCCGGGCCUUGCAGCGCGAACUGGCGUGCUUGAGUCCGCGGAAAGCAGGCGGAAUUCGUCGUGUAGCGGUGAAAUGCUUAGAUAUGACGAAGAACCCCGAUUGCGAAGGCAGCUUGCUGCAGCGGAACUGACGCUGAUGCUCGAAAGCGCGGGUAUCGAACAGGAUUAGAUACCCGAGUAGUC